rnacentral:rRNA from 1 species
AGAGUUUGAUCCUGGCUCAGGAUGAACGCUGGCGACGUGCUUAACACAUGCAAGUCGAGCGGAGUUAAGAUAGCUUGCUAUCUUGACUUAGCGGCGGACGGGUGAGUAACGCGUGGGCAACCUGCCUUAAAGAGGGGGAUAACACUCCGAAAGGAGUGCUAAUACCGCAUAGAUCUGAUUACCGCAUGGUAAAUGGAUUAAAGAUUUAUCGCUUUAAGAUGGGCCCGCGUCGCAUUAGCUAGUUGGUGAGGUAGAAGCUCACCAAGGCGACGAUGCGUAGCCGGACUGAGAGGUCGAACGGCCACAAUGGAACUGAGACACGGUCCAUACUCCUACGGGAGGCAGCAGUGGGGAAUAUUGCACAAUGGGCGAAAGCCUGAUGCAGCGACGUCGCGUGAGGGAAGAAGUAUUUCGGUAUGUAAACCUCUGUCCUAUGUGAAGAAAAAGACGGUGGCAUAGGAGGAAGCCAUGGCUAACUACGUGCCAGCAGCCGCGGUAAUACGUAGAUGGCGAGCGUUAUCCGGAAUGACUGGGCGUAAAGGGUGUGUAGGCGGUUUAAUAAGUCAGAUGUGAAAGUCCCGUGCUUAACAUGGGGAUUGCAUUUGAAACUAUUAGACUUGAGUGCAGGAGAGGAAAGUGGAAUUCCUAGUGUAGCGGUGAAAUGCGUAGAUAUUAGGAGGAACACCAGUGGCGAAGGCGACUUUCUGGACUGUAACUGACGCUGAGGCACGAAAGCGUGGGGAGCGAACAGGAUUAGAUACCCUGGUAGUCCACGCUGUAAACGAUGAAUGCUAGGUGUG